UACGGGGGGGGCAAGCGUUGUUCGGAAUUACUGGGCGUAAAGGGCUCGUAGGCGGCCAACUAAGUCGGACGUGAAAUCCCCAGGCUCAACCUGGGAACUGCGUCCGAUACUGGAUGGCUUGAAUUCGGGAGAGGGAUGCAGAAUUCCAGGUGUAGCGGUGAAAUGCGUAGAUAUCCGGAGGAACACCGGUGGCGAAGGCGGCUUCCUGGGCCGACACUGACGCUGAGGCGCGAAAGCUAGGGGAGCAAACGGG
rnacentral:rRNA from 1 species